rnacentral:rRNA from 1 species
GAUGAACGCUGGCGGCGUGCCUAAUACAUGCAAGUCGAGCGAACAGACGAGGAGCUUGCUCCUCUGACGUUAGCGGCGGACGGGUGAGUAACACGUGGAUAACCUACCUAUAAGACUGGGAUAACUUCGGGAAACCGGAGCUAAUACCGGAUAAUAUAUUGAACCGCAUGGUUCAAUAGUGAAAGACGGUUUUGCUGUCACUUAUAGAUGGAUCCGCGCCGCAUUAGCUAGUUGGUAAGGUAACGGCUUACCAAGGCAACGAUGCGUAGCCGACCUGAGAGGGUGAUCGGCCACACUGGAACGUAGACACGGUCCAGACGCCUACGGGAGGCAGCAGUAGGGAAUCUUCCGCAAUGGGCGAAAGCCUGACGGAGCAACGCCGCGUGAGUGAUGAAGGUCUUCGGAUCGUAAAACUCUGUUAUUAGGGAAGAACAAAUGUGUAAGUAACUAUGCACGUCUUGACGGUACCUAAUCAGAAAGCCACGGCUAACUACGUG